rnacentral:lncRNA from 1 species
GUAUAUUUUGGUUAGUCUGGAAGGAAAGGAAUUUAUUAGUUUUUGGGAAUGAAGAGCUUUCGCUUCAAAGACUGAAAUAUUCUUUUGUAUGUAAUAUUUGGUCUUGGGUUAGAGUAUCUUUAAUUUUGAGCCCUUCUUCUCUUGUAAGUUUUUUAGAUUGGUUAGGCUCUAAGUUAGGAAUUUAAUCUUUGGUGUGCUGCUAUCCUUUCCCCUUGGAGUGUGUCUUUGGGCUUUUUUGUAUAACUCCCUAUAUACUUUGAGGGCACUGUUUUUGGUUCUUCCUCUUCUUGUUUAAUAUACAUCUUUUUAUCUAAAUAAAAAAAUACAACCUCUUACUAUCAAAAAAAAUAAAAAUAAAAAUUUAACCUCAUUCUAGCACUUAGUGUAUGCAUUUCAAAGAUAGUUUUAAGCAUUUUCAUGUUAUGAUGGUGUGUUUAUAUGUCCAUGAGGGGCUAUUUUUCUUAGAACAGUUCUCCCUUAUUUUCUCCUUUUCCCCCAUGUUGGGAUCGAACAUGGAACCUCCUGAAUCCCACCACCAACUGCUUAUCACUUGAGCCAGGCCUCAAGGAAUAUAUGCAUGAGUGGUUAUAUCUAUGCAGUAUGUAAUGUUCAUGACUGCAACAAAGUAAGGUGCUGAGUUUAAUAACAAUUACAAUUCUUGAUGUCAUGCUUUUGUUUGUCAGGUGAUAUGCUAUGUAAUGUCCAGUAGGAAACAUUUUGAUACCUGGCAGUCUGGAAAAUAAGUGUGAAACUAGUCCCUCUUAAAACCUAUACGGUUCCUUCUUCUAAUACAUUUUGUUUUUUGUUUAUUUUGUGCUGUUCAGUUUUUUAUCACAGGACACAUGUUUCAGCAGUACUGGUACAUAUUGGUCACACUGAUUCAAUGUUUUUCCACUUUCUUUUUCCCAUUCUUAUAGAUUUUUAAAAUACAAUAUCAUGAAAACUAAAUGUGUUUCUUUUGGUAAACAUUUAGUAAAUAUACAAUACUCAGAUGCUAUUUACUAAUAUGGCAGAUUAGUGCCAUUAUGCUUUUAUAGGUGUUUUGAAGCAUAUAUGCUUAUUUUUGUUUUCCCUUUAGCAAUUGAAGUGUGUGUUUUUUUCCAAUCUGUUUAUUUUUAUGCAUUUUUUUAUUAUCUUUUUCUGCAUUAUUAUGCCUAUUAGAGUUCUCCCCUCUUCUGCACUGUCACUAUAUUAAAUGUUACUUGCAAAAAAGGAAAAAAAAAGGGAAUUACAUUCAUAGUUUAUUUAAGAAAAUGGUAUUUGCAAUUGAAAGAUAUUUUUGAUGCAAUUAUACUUCGCUUAUUGGUUUUGAUCUGUGUGCUUUUAUGCUUGGCUUACUAAGUUUUUUGGUGUGUUAUUAUGCCUAUUAGAUAACCAAUUUUCCUAAAAAGCUUAAGCUUAUAUGAUUUGGGCCCAUUAUGUAUAUCAUGCUCUCCAACACACUCCCUCAUGUGUAAAUUCCAUCUUUGGGCAUACACAUUGACUUAAUAUGAAUUGUGGAAAUAAACAUGCGGUGGUGAGGUUCAAACACUUGACCUCCCAUCAAAUGAGGCUUUGAUACCAUGUUAGAUAACCAAUUUUCCUAAAAGCUUAAGCUUGUAGGCUUUGGGCUAUAUCAUGUUCUCUGUAGAAAAUAUUCUUCUUUUUUCUGUGUCAAAACUGAAUACAAAGUGACCUAUAUAUAUAUACAAGUGGGAUUCCUAAUCUAAGCCAUAUAAUAUGCACAAUCACUAUCUCUAAGGAAACAAUAACUAAUUAGGAGAGAUUCUCUCAUUCAUAAAAAUAGAAAAUAUCCUAACACAAUCCCUCUAAUCUUGACACUUAAUUACAAAUCAUAAUCCCAUAUUUCCACACUCCCCCUCAAGUUGGGUAGUAGAUGUCUAGUAUUCCCAACUUGCUUUUCAUGUUUCCGUAGGUGGCCUUUGGAAGUGCCUUUGUCAGAAUGUCUGCUGUUUGACGACUUGAAGGAAUAUACAUAAGUAUGAUUGUUCCCCCUUCAAGUUUCUCCUUGAUGAAGUGACGGUCUAUCUCCACGUGCUUGGUUCUGUCGUGUUGAACUGGAUUCUUUGCAAUACUUAUGGUAGCCUUGUUAUCACACAAAACUGUCAUAGUGGAGUUUGAUAUAAUUUCAAGUUCCUUGAGUAUUCUUUGGAGCCACAUUCCUUCACAUAUCCCAUGAGCUAUUGCCCUGAAUUCUGCCUCUGCAUUGCUUCUCGCCACUACGGACUGCUUCUUGCUUCUCCAAGUCACCAAGUUUCCCCACACAUAGGAACAAUACCCAGUAGUCGACCUCCGAUCUGUCAAGGAUCCUGCCCAAUCAGCAUCUGUGAAUACCUUAACUUCCCUACUUGAGGUUUUCUUGAAGUAGAGUCCUCUACCCGAGCUCUUUUUAAGGUACUAUAAAAUUCUGUAUAUGGCUUUCAUGUGUCUUUUAGUGGGAUUGUUCAUGUAGCGGCUUACCAUGCUCACAGCGAAACCAAUAUCGGGCCUUGUGUGAGUUAAGUAGAUCAACUUUCCUACUAACCUCUGGUACCUAUCUCUGUCAGUUGGAUGAUUGUCAUUAUCUUUAUCAAUCUUACCAAUAGGAUCCAUAAGCGUGUCCACUGGCUUACAACCUAGCAUCCCAGUCUCCUAAAGUAGAUCAAGGACAUACUUCCUUUGCGUGACCACAAUUCCCUCCUUAGUUCUGCCAACUUCCAUGCCAAGAAAGUAUUUGAGUUGUCCAAGAUCUUUGAUUUCAAAUUCUCUUGCUAGCAACUUCUUGAGAUUCCCUAUCCUUUCUUCAUCGUCUCCGGUAAUUAUAAUUUCAUCAACAUAGAUAAUGAACAGAGUCAUUUCACCUUCCUUAGAGUGCUUCAUAAACAGUGUGUGAUCUGCUUGACAUUGGAUGAACCCAUGUUUUUUCACAACUCUAGUCAGUCGAUCAAACCAGGCCCUAGGUGAUUGUUUUAGACCGUAUAGGGACUUUCUCAGUUUACACACUUUUCCUGAAUUUUCUGGAGUUUCCAUACUAGGUGGAAUCUUCAUGUAGGCUUCCUCUUCU